rnacentral:lncRNA from 1 species
ACAUUAUUUAUUUUAUCUGAUUGGACGGAACUUGGUGUCUCCCAGCUCCCAUCUCAGGAGGGCAAAACACAUCCUAGCUCUUCCCGGAUCGUAGCCGCAUCAAAUCAUCCAUGUCCUCCUCCUUCCCAGCAACCAAAGAAGGGAGUUCACACCCUUCCAAAUCCUCCACGCCCACCGCGUGCCAGCCACCGUGCCAGCAGCGCCCAAAUCCCAGCGUCCGAAUCCAUCUCCCGAAAUCCAAGCUUCCCGUGAUGCAGGCCGUGAUCCAAGCAGCAUCCCCAUCUCCCCCUCUUCCGGCCACAGCAGCGGAUUUUCAGCAAGCCCCGAGCAAUGCGUCCGUGAUCGGCUCCUCCCAGCGCCCGGAUUCGCAGUGCCCCAGCUGUUCACCGUCCGUGAUCCCACGCGUGUC